UACGUAGGGGGCAAGCGUUGUCCGGAAUUAUUGGGCGUAAAGCGCGUGUAGGCGGCUUGGUCAGUCUGAUGUGAAAUCUUGGGGCUUAACCCUAAAACUGCAUUGGAUACUGCCUGGCUAGAGUCCGGGAGGGGAGAGCGGAAUUCCCAGUGUAGCGGUGAAAUGCGCAGAUAUUGGGAAGAACACCGGUGGCGAAGGCGGCUCUCUGGAACGGUACUGACGCUGAGACGCGAAAGCGUGGGGAGCGAAC
rnacentral:rRNA from 1 species